rnacentral:rRNA from 1 species
AACGAACGCUGGCGGCAUGCCUAACACAUGCAAGUCGAACGAGACCUUCGGGUCUAUUGGCGCACGGUUGCGUAACGCGUGGGAACCUUCCCUUAGGUUCGGAAUAACUCCCCGAAAGGGGUGCUAAUACCGGAUAAUGUCUUCUGACCAAAGAUUUAUCGCCUUUGGAUGGGCCCGCGUUGGAUUAGCUAGUUGGUAGGGUAAAAGCCUACCAAGGCGACGAUCCAUAGCUGGUAUGAGAGGAUGAUCAGACACACUGGGACUGAGACACGGCCCAGACUCCUACGGGAGGCAGCAGUGGGGAAUAUUGGAAAAUGGGCGAAAGCCUGAUCCAGCAAUGACGCGAGAGUGAUGAAGGCCUUAGGGUUGUAAAGCUCUUUUACCCGGGAUGAUAAUGACAGUACCGGGAGAAUAAGCUCCGGCUAACUCCGUG